rnacentral:rRNA from 1 species
GUAACGACUCUCGGCAACGGAUAUCUCGGCUCUCGCAUCGAUGAAGAACGUAGCGAAAUGCGAUACUUGGUGUGAAUUGCAGAAUCCCGUGAACCAUCGAGUCUUUGAACGCAAGUUGCGCCCGAAGCCUUCUGGCCGAGGGCACGUCUGCCUGGGCGUCACGC